AGAGUUUGAUCCUGGCUCAGGAUGAACGCUGGCGGCGUGCUUAACACAUGCAAGUCGAACGAAGACAUCUGAGUGCUUGCACUUGGAUGGACUGAGUGGCGGACGGGUGAGUAACGCGUGGGUAACCUGCCUUAUACGAGGGGGAUAACAGUUGGAAACGACUGCUAAUACCGCAUAAGCGCACGGUAUCGCAUGAUACAGUGUGAAAAACUCCGGUGGUAUAAGAUGGACCCGCGUCUGAUUAGCUUGUUGGUGAGGUAACGGCCCACCAAGGCGACGAUCAGUAGCCGGCCUGAGAGGGUGAACGGCCACAUUGGGACUGAGACACGGCCCAAACUCCUACGGGAGGCAGCA
rnacentral:rRNA from 1 species